rnacentral:rRNA from 1 species
AAUUUUGGACAAUGGGGGAAACCCUGAUCCAGCCAUCCCGCGUGUAUGAUGAAGGCCUNCGGGUUNUNAAGUACUUUUGGCAGAGNAGAAAAGGCAUCCCCUAAUACGGGAUGCUGCUGACGGUAUCUGCAGAAUAAGCUCCGGCUACCUCUGUGCCAGCAGCCGCGGUAAUACAGAGGGUGCGAGCGUUAAUCGGAAUUACUGGGCGUAAAGCGCGCGUAGGCGGCUUUGCAAGUCGGGUGUGAAAUCCCCAGGCUUAACCUGGGAACUGCAUUCGAGACUGCAUUGCUAGAGUAUGUCAGAGGGGGGUAGAAUUCCACGUGUAGCAGUGAAAUGCGUAGAUAUGUGGAGGAAUACCGAUGGCGAAGGCAGCCCCCUGGGAUAAUACUGACGCUCAUGCACGAAAGCGUGGGUAGCAAACAGG